rnacentral:lncRNA from 1 species
ACAUGCCCAGCGCACGCGGCGCGCCGCCCUGCUAGAAGUUGCAGCCUCCGAGUUGGAGGCCGCUGAGGACCGAGCGCAGGAGGAAGGAGACAGCGCGCAGCGGCGGCCGGCGAGGAGACAGCACACCCCGGGCCGGGCCCAGCGCACCGCUCCCGGCCCCAAAAGCGGAGCUGCAACUUGGCCACGACUGCACCUGUUUGCACCGCUCCGCCGAGGGCGCCUGGGCUGCGGUGGCGGCGAAGACGGCGACCCCGACCGUCGGCCUCUUUGGCAAGUGGUUUGUGCAUCAGGAGAAACUUUCCACCUGCGAGCCGAACCGGCGCCGAGUGCGUGUGUUUCUGCCUUUUUUUGUUGUCGUUGCCUCCACCCCUCCCCAUUCUUCUCUCCGCUAGGACCCCCCCGCCCCCGUCUCACUCCGUCUGAAUUCCUCUCCGUCUCCCUCCCACCCCGGCCGUCUAUGCUCCAGGCCCUCUCCUCGCGGUGCCGGUGAACCCGCCAGCCGCCCCGAUGUACAGCAUGAUGAUGGAGACCG